rnacentral:tRNA from 1 species
GCUUCGUUGGCUCAGUUGGUAGAGCGUCAGUCUCAUAAUCUGAAGGUCGAGAGUUCGAUCCUCCCACGGAGCA